rnacentral:rRNA from 1 species
GACGAACGCUGGCGGCGUGCUUAACACAUGCAAGUCGAGCGAGGCCCCUCCUUCGGGAGGGUGUCCUAGCGGCGAACGGGUGAGUAACACGUGGGCAACCUGCCCCCGGCUCUGGGAUAACUCCAAGAAAUUGGGGCUAAUACCGGAUAUGACCGCUGACCGCAUGGUCUGGUGGUGGAAAGAUUUAUCGGCUGGGGAUGGGCCCGCGGCCUAUCAGCUUGUUGGUGGGGUAGUGGCCUACCAAGGCGACGACGGGUAGCCGGCCUGAGAGGGUGACCGGCCACACUGGGACUGAGACACGGCCCAGACUCCUACGGGAGGCAGCAGUGGGGAAUAUUGCGCAAUGGGCGGAAGCCUGACGCAGCGACGCCGCGUGGGGGAUGACGGCCUUCGGGUUGUAAACCUCUUUCAGCAGGGACGAAGCGAAAGUGACGGUACCUGCAGAAGAAGCACCGGCCAACUACGUGCCAGCCGCCGCCGUAA